CCCGGAUAGUUAAAUAUAAACACUUAGGUCGUGACCCUAAAAACUAGAGACACCCUCUUCCGAGCU
rnacentral:tRNA from 1 species